rnacentral:rRNA from 1 species
UACAGAGACUGCAAGCGUUAUUCGGAUUCACUGGGCGUAAAGGGUGCGCAGGCGGUUGUGUGUGUCAGGUGUGAAAGCCCGGGGCUUAACCCCGGAAUUGCGCCUGAAACUACAUGACUAGAGCAUUGGAGAGGGUAGCGGAAUUCACGGUGUAGCAGUGAAAUGCGUAGAGAUGUGGAGGAACACCGAUGGCGAAGGCAGCCCCUGGGCUAACACUGACGCUCAUGCACGAAAGCGUGGGGAGCAAACAGG